AUUUGGCGGACGGGUGAGUAACAGGUGGGUAAUCUGCCUUUCGGAGGGGGAUAACGGCUGGAAACGGCCGCUAAUACCCCGUACGGUUGCGAAGCUCUCGGGCUUUGCAAAGAAAGGGGCCUUUAAAGCCCCGCCGAAAGAUGAGCCCGCCCCCCAUUAGCUAGUUGGCGGGGUAAUGGCCCACCAAGGCUGUGAUGGGUAGCCGAGCUGAGAGGUUGAUCGGCCACACUGGAACUGAGACACGGUCCAGACACCUACGGGUGGCAGCAGUAGGGAAUAUUGCGCAAUGGGCGAAAGCCUGACGCAGCCAUGCCGCGUGGAUGAUGAAGGCCUUCGGGUCGUAAAGUCCUUUUCUGAGGGAAGAACUGCCGGGGGAGGAAAUGCCCUUGGCUUGACGGUACCUCAGGAAUAAGCAACGGCUAACUCCGUGCCAGCAGCCGCGGUAAUAAUC
rnacentral:rRNA from 1 species